UACGUAGGGCGCAAGCGUUGUCCGGAAUUAUUGGGCGUAAAGAGCUCGUAGGCGGUUUGUCGCGUCUGCUGUGAAAACCUGAGGCUCAACCUCGGGCUUGCAGUGGGUACGGGCAGACUAGAGUGCGGUAGGGGUGACUGGAAUUCCUGGUGUAGCGGUGGAAUGCGCAGAUAUCAGGAGGAACACCGAUGGCGAAGGCAGGUCAC
rnacentral:rRNA from 1 species